AAGUCGUAACAAGGUUUCCGUAGGUGAACCUGCGGAAGGAUCAUUACAGAGAACUUGCCCUUCGGGGUAGAUCUCCCACCCUUUGUCUACCAUACUUUGUUGCUUUGGCAGGCCCGCUCUCGGGCCGCCGGCUUCGGCUGGCCAGCGUCUGCCAGAGGACCACAAACUCUUGUAUUUUAGUGUCGUCUGAGUACUUUAUAAUAAGUUAAAACUUUCAACAACGGAUCUCUUGGUUCUGGCAUCGAUGAAGAACGCAGCGAAAUGCGAUAAGUAAUGUGAAUUGCAGAAUUCAGUGAAUCAUCGAAUCCUUGAACGCACAUUGCGCCUAGCGGUAUUCCGCUAGGCAUGCCUGUUUGAGCGUCAUUUCAACCCUCAAGCCUAGCUUGGUAUUGGGUGUCACCGGCACGGUGCGCCUUAAAAUCAGUGGCGGUGCCAUUUGGCUUCAAGCGUAGUAAUACUUCUCGCUCUGGAUCCCGGGUGGUUACUUGCCAACAACCCCAUAUUUUUUAAGGUUGACCUCGGAUCAGGUAGGGAUACCCGCUGAACUUAA
rnacentral:rRNA from 1 species